rnacentral:rRNA from 1 species
GACGAACGCUGGCGGCGUGCUUAACACAUGCAAGUCGAACGGAAAGGCCCUGCUUGCCGGGUACUCGAGUGGCGAACGGGUGAGUAACACGUGGGUGAUCUGCCCUUCACUUCGGGAUAAGCUUGGGAAACUGGGUCUAAUACCGGAUAGGACCGCACUUUAGUGUGUGUGGUGGAAAGUUUUUUCGGUGUAGGAUGAGCUCGCGGCCUAUCAGCUUGUUGGUGGGGUAAUGGCCUACCAAGGCGGCGACGGGUAGCCGGCCUGAGAGGGUGUACGGCCACAGUGGGACUGAGAUACGGCCCAGACUCCUACGGGAGGCAGCAGUGGGGAAUAUUGCACAAUGGGCGCAAGCCUGAUGCAGCGACGCCGCGGGGGGGAUUAAGGCCUUCGGGUUGUAAACGCCUUUCGCUAGGGACGAAGCUUUUUGUGACGGUACCUAGAUAAGAAGCACCGGCUAACUACGUG